rnacentral:lncRNA from 1 species
AUGAGCUCAGUGAGACUGGUGUAAUCAGCGCUGAAGAAGGGAAGGACACAGAUGGAAGGCAGGGUUUGUCUUUCCGUAACACCCAAACAAGAAGAUUUUAUAAACUUAUUAGGAUAACUGGCGUGCAGGAAGAAUGGAUCUCUUCUGUGAUUCCUGACCCACCUAAUUGCGUGAUUGUCGUGAGCAAUAACAACCUGGCUCAGGGGAGCGGCGCUGGGGAAAGAUGCUGACGUAUUCAGUAUGGCACACUGCUUCUCCGUCCCGGAAUGGCUUCAUGUGGGAACAAAGUUUGUCAUCCUGAGACACCAGACCUUUGACGAGACUCAGGUAACCUCUGACAGCGCGUACGGUGCUAACAAAGAGUCCCUGUCAGCCUUUGUGGAAGACUUUGAGACUUCAGUCAGCGUUGACUUUCUAGAAGAUGAGGAGCGUGUUGGCGAAGUGCUAGACUGUGGUUCUUCGGAUCUAUCGGAUCAUGGAGGAACAGAAGAAGCUCAGCAUGAAGAUGAAAAGAUGACAGAAGCAGCAGCAUCCCAGAAGUUGUGAUCACACAGGCAGAUGAGGUGGGUGAUAGACAAUACUUGAUAGAAAAUUCCUUUUUAUCUUAUCUGAUUUGUAUUCUUGGCUGGGAUGAGAAAUACAUCUUGUUGUUUCUAAUUAAUUCUUUAAUUUUCUUUUAUUUAUAUUUUGAAUUUAGCAAAAUUCUAUUUCAUGUAAGAAUCAUUCUCCAUCUAACCCAAAAUGCAUUAAAAAGGCUAUUUGCUUUAAUCAGCGGGAUUUUUAAUCUUAUUAUAUGCUUCUCAAAAAUGAAUAUUUCUUUGUAUUGUAGAGUACAUAUUUACAUAAAUUAGUGUUAUCCUUGGUUAUUUUGCCAACCAUAAUUUAUACGCUUUUUAGUUUUAUCAUAAAGUAA